rnacentral:rRNA from 1 species
UACAGGGGGGGCAAGCGUUGUUCGGAAUUACUGGGCGUAAAGGGCUCGUAGGUGGCCAAGUAAGUCAGACGUGAAAUCCCUCAGCUUAACUGGGGAACUGCGUCUGAUACUGGAUGGCUUGAGUUUGGGAGAGGGAUGCGGAAUUCCAGGUGUAGCGGUGAAAUGCGUAGAUAUCUGGAGGAACACCGGUGGCGAAGGCGGCAUCCUGGACCAACACUGACACUGAGGAGCGAAAGCCAGGGGAGCAAACGGG